CCUCAUUGUAAGAUGGGCUCAGUGGUCAUGGAACCCAGGACAAACAUAGGUGGAUUAUUGCCAACUUUGGCACAGUCAUUAUUGUGAAAAGCACAUUGGCAUUCUCAUCCUCCUGGUCAAUUCACAGAUCUGAAAGUUGCGUUCCCUUGUUUAGACAGUACAGGCCAUAUCUGUUGGUGCUAGUGUCAUUGCUUAACCAAGGACAAAAGCAGAUUGUCAUCAGGGAGAUAUUUCAUUGUACUGGGUGACAUUACCAUAAGCCUUACAUUGGUUAAAGCCUUUAGCACACUCUCAAGGGAAGGUGUCAAAUAGAUCUCAAAGUGGAACUUGACACUCGGCUUGGGACCUUGACUCUUGUUGUAAACUUCCUGCACGCCUGGAUCCAAGAAGGUCAACGUUUACCCCAUGCUUUCUCUCCAUGCUGAACUGUCCCACGAAAUGUAUGGCUUCAAUGAGUGUGAACAGACACUGACUCAGUGAACAUGCAAAUAUUGUUUGGAAAAUGAAGACUAGGAAGAAACAUCACAUGCUUGAUAAAAGCUAUUUGGCAAGCUCCCCAGGAGGACAUGGUGGUGGAUCUGCCCCAAGGCUGGGCUGCGGACGAGCCUCUCAGAACUGCGGACCAAUCCAGGAAAGCCUAUGAACACGCUCCCCAGGAGGACCUGGUGUUGGAACUGCCCCAGGCCAGGGCUGAGGAACCGCCUCUCCGACCCCUGGAGGAAUCCAGAGCAGCCUAUGAACACGCUCUCCAGGAGGACCUGGUGGUGAAACCGCGUGAGGCCUGGGCUAAGAAGCAGCCUCAGAGGACCCUGAAGGCAUAUGGAGCAGCCUAUGAACACGGUAAAUAUUCAGGGAUCAUCCCUCUUCUGAGAAACAACCCAGUUGAUCAAGGUGGGGCUCUGUUGCUGGCUCUGGUUGGAGAGACUUCACUGAGGACCUGCCAGUCAACCCACCAUGUGACAACACAGAAGACAUUGAGUAUUUCUCCAAGGUGGCCCUUUCAGGAUGUGAAACUGACUGUUUUCUGGAAAGUCUUAGCAUCAGUGAUGCGGAAGACUAUGCAGCCACUCCAGUUGAGUGCUGCCCUCAGACACCAGAUUCGUUCUACAGAAGUCAGUGGUGAUGAUGAGGAAGACUGGAAGAGCAAGAGUGAACAUGGGACCUGGGGUGAAAGGCUCUGCUCUGAAUCCCUGAAGACCUGGACCUGGACCCCAUCCUGGACCCCAGAGGUGGUGGAGCCCCCACAGCACCAGGAGCCUCAUCUGGACCAGAUCAGGGGAGGCCUCAUUGCCUCUCUCCUGAGAGUCCUCAUUUAGUACAGCUUCAGUUGUUUUGCUGCGUUGAUGUAGUAUUAGUUUUAUCUACAGUUUUAUCUUUAUGUUCUGUAUAUAUCUAUAUGUUCCAUAUUUAUAAGUAAGUUUUUUCAUUAAAUGUUUUUAUCUAUUUCAAAAUAACUUUUUGUAAGAACACAUAUGUAUAAAGUAACCCCCUCAACAGAGGUAGAACUUAAGAAAUUGUCAUAAGCCAGUCACCUUAGUGUCCACCACCAGGAUUAUUUCCCCCUUCACGCAACUCAGUCUUUGUUGUUUAAGGAACUGCAAAUUUAGUUCUAACAUCUAUCCUUCUGUCAUUGUCUUUAAGAAUUCUGUUUUCUCACAUCUGCUCAUUCCAGUGGUCAUAGGAGGUCAAUAUUACCCUAGAUCUUUCAAGACUUGCAUGUCAGGAUUUUUCAGAACUCAGUCUGCUUUCAGGGUAAAAAGUUCAUGAUCCAUCAUUGAUCUCCAUUUGUAGCUUAAGCAUGUUUCUCUCUUUUCUUCUAACACAGAGGAUUUCUCUCCAAAAAGGCUCUUUAAAUUUUAGUUGUCAUUCCUUAUAUUUCUCCUGCUCUUUUAUUCCAGCUGCCCAAAGGAUUAUUCUCAUUGACUAUAUUCUCAUGGUGUACAUUUUGUCUCCCAAACUCAUUUAUU
ensembl:lncRNA